AAAUGAAUAGACGGGCACCCGCACAAGCGGUGGAGCAUGCUGUUUAAUUCGAAGAUACGCGAAGAACCUUACCUAGACUUGACAUCCCCGGCAAAGACAUGGAAACAUGUUGGAGGUUACCCGGGUGACAGGUGGUGCAUGGUUGUCGUCAGCUCGUGUCGUGAGAUGUUCGGUUAAGUCCGCUAACGAGCGCAACCCUUGUCCUUAGUUGCUAACAUUAAGUUGAGAACCCUAAGGAGACUGCCGGUGAUAAGCCGGAGGAAGGUGGGGAUGACGUCAAAUCAUCAUGCCCCUUACGUCUAGGGCUACAGGCGUGCUAUAAUGGCCAAUAUAAAGAGACGCAAAACCGUGAGGUGGAGCAAAACUCCAAAGUUGGUCUCAGUUCGGAUUGAAGUCUGCAACUCGACUUCAUGAAGUUAGAAUCGCUAGUAAUCCUGAAUCAGAAUGUCAGGGUGAAUACGUUCCCGGGUGUUGUACACACCGCCCGU
rnacentral:rRNA from 1 species